rnacentral:ribozyme from 14 species
UUAAGCUCAAGACCGGCAGGAACAACCAUGAUCAGAAGGAACUAAAGAAAGUUUAGAGACUUAUCUGCGCUGAAAUAAAGAUCAACCGUUACUAAGGUUUUCUUCUUUCUAAAUAUUUAGUUUUCUUUUCGUUUU